UACGGCGAGUGAGCGGCAAAAGCUCAAAUUUGAAAUCUGCGUAAGCCGAGUUGUAAUUUGAAGAUGGCUACUUUGGUAAUGGCUCUUGUCUAUGUUCCUUGGAACAGGACGUCACAGAGGGUGAGAAUCCCGUGCGAUGAGAUGUCCAUUACCGUGUAAAGUGCUUUCGAAGAGUCGAGUUGUUUGGGAAUGCAGCUCUAAGUGGGUGGUAAAUUCCAUCUAAAGCUAAAUAUUGGCGAGAGACCGAUAGCGAACAAGUACAGUGAUGGAAAGAUGAAAAGAACUUUGAAAAGAGAGUGAAAAAGUACGUGAAAUUGUUGAAAGGGAAGGGCUUGAGAUCAGACUUGGUAUUUUGUAUGGCUUGCUUUCGGGCGGGUCCUCUGCAGUUUACUGGGCCAGCAUCGGUUUGGGUGGCAGGAUAAUAGCAUUGGAAUGUGGCUCUACUUCGGUGGAGUGUUAUAGCCUUUGUUGAUACUGCCUGCCUAGACCGAGGACUGCGUCUUUUGACUAGGAUGCUGGCAUAAUGAUCCUAAGCCGCCCGU
rnacentral:rRNA from 1 species